rnacentral:snoRNA from 1 species
GCAAGUAUACUCAGCACCCAACUGUAGCCUCCGGCGGGUACUUUUUCUCUCUACCAGAGAAAUAUUCCAGGGUACAGUGGCUGCCUGGAUAUGUCAGGAGAAAUGCAGCUGUCUGGGAACUGAAGG